rnacentral:lncRNA from 1 species
AUGGUAUAUUGGUUUGAACGCUGCAAGAGUGGAUGGAAAUCUUUUAUCAAUCAAGCCUCCAAGCAUUUUUCCAGAACCCCAAGGUCUAUUGCUGAGCGAAGGUUUUGGAAAGCUCAUGAAUGGCAGAAUUGGCUUUUAUAUUACAGUUUUCCAGUCCUGAAGGGGAUACUUCCAAACAAGUAUCUUUGCCACUGGGCUUUACUUGUGGAGGGUGUGAGCAUUUUGCUAGGUUCAGACAUUAGCCAAGAGAAUAUUGACCAUGCUCAUCAGGCUGUUGAGCUUUAUGUUGAAUCAGUUCAGUCUUUGUACGGCAAAGACCAGAUGACCUACAAUGUGCAUUCACUCCUACAUUUGACUAAGAGUGUUGAGAAUUUGGGUCCUCUCUGGGCCCAGUCUGCUUUCAUGUUUGAGAACUAUAAUGGCUACUUGCUCAAGCAAGUAAAAAGCAGUAAUGCAGUGCCUCAGCAGCUUUGCAAAAGGGUAGUUUGGUCUCGUGCAUUGCCACACAUAGCUAAGGCCUGUUCAUCUAAUGAUGUCUCACCUGAAAUGAAAUCAUUCUACACAGAAAUGACCUCCAGUAAACAUCAUGUAAGGAACUAUGCUAGAUAUGACAGGGUGACUGCACUUGGAGUGCCAAAGAUUAGGCCAGUGUCUGAAAAUGAUAUGAAUGCAUUGCAUGCAUUGCGAGAUGUACCCGGGACCUCUACUGGCAUGUACUAUAACAGAAUAGUUGUCAAUGGAGAGGUUAUUCACAGCCAAACAUACACCAAGACAAAGAAAAGGAACAACUCUGUUGUGAUGCUGAAAGAUGGCAGCAUUUUCAAGGUGUCAUACUUUCUCUGUGUCAGUGAUGACCAACAUCACCUAUAUGCAGUUGGUAAAUUUGGAAAUUGUACAGUGCAGAAGCUGGUUCGAGGAUGUACUCUUAAAAUAUCAUUGACCUUUAUGAAGACUGUACAUUUUCCUACAGGAUUUGAAAGAGCAGUUGACAGCAAUGACAUUGUGAGACCAUGCGUUUACAUUAAUUGUGAACAGUCUGGUCCUGUUGUUUGUGAACAAAUCAAAACAUAUUAUUGUAAAUGA